rnacentral:rRNA from 1 species
UACGUAGGGGGCUAGCGUUGUCCGGAAUCAUUGGGCGUAAAGCGCGCGUAGGCGGCCCGGUAAGUCCGCUGUGAAAGUCCAGGGCUCAACCCUGGAAAGCCGGUGGAUACUGCCGGGCUAGAGUCCGGAAGAGGCGAGUGGAAUUCCUGGUGUAGCGGUGGAAUGCGCAGAUAUCAGGAGGAACACCGGUGGCGAAGGCGGAUCUCUGGGCCUUACCUGACGCUCAGGCGCGAAAGCUAGGGGAGCGAACUGG